rnacentral:rRNA from 1 species
GAUGAACGCUGGCGGCGUGCUUAAUACAUGCAAGUCGAGCGAACAGAUAAGGAGCUUGCUCCUUUGACGUUAGCGGCGCACGGGUGAGUAACAUGUGUGUAACCUACUUAUAAUACUGGGAUCACCUCGGGAAACCGGAGCUAACACCGGAUAAUAUUUCGAACCGCAUGGUUCGAUAGUGAGAGAUGGUGUUGCUAUAACUUAUAGAUGGACACGGGCCGUAUUAGAUAGUUGGUAGGGUAACGGCUUACGAAGGCGACGAGACGUAGCCGAGCUGAGAGAGGGAUAGGCGGCACUAGAAGUGAGCCAGGGACAAGGCGCCUGCGGGAGGCAGCAGUCGCGAAUGGGCGGCAAUAGGGGGAAACCUGGCAGAGCAACGCGGCGUGAGAGACGAAGGUCUCGGGAUCGGAAAGCCCUGUUUUGAGGGAAGAACAGCCGUGUAAGUAGAUGUAGACGGAGUGACGGUAACGAGUAAAGAAGCCACGGCUAACUACGUG